rnacentral:rRNA from 1 species
GAAGGUGGCCUGUGAGGGCUGCUGGAGGUAUCAGAAGUGCGAAUGCUGACAUAAGUAACGAUAAUGCGGGUGAAAAACCCGCACGCCGGAAGACCAAGGGUUCCUGUCCAACGUUAAUCGGGGCAGGGUGAGUCGACCCCUAAGGCGAGGCCGAAAGGCGUAGUCGAUGGGAAACAGGUUAAUAUUCCUGUACUUGGUGUUACUGCGAAGGGGGGACGGAGAAGGCUAUGUUGGCCGGGCGACGGUUGUCCCGGUUUAAGCGUGUAGGCUGACUUUCCAGGCAAAUCCGGAGAGUCAAGGCUGAGGCGUGACGACGAGGCACCACGGUGCUGAAGCAACAAAUGCCCUGCUUCCAGGAAAAGCCUCUAAGCAUCAGGUAACAUCAAAUCGUACCCCAAACCGACACAGGUGGUCAGGUAGAGAAUACCAAGGCGCUUGAGAGAACUCGGGUGAAGGAACUAGGCAAAAUGGUGCCGUAACUUCGGGAGAAGGCACGCUGACACGUAGGUGAAGUG